rnacentral:rRNA from 1 species
UACGUAGGGCGCAAGCGUUGUCCGGAAUUAUUGGGCGUAAAGAGCUCGUAGGCGGCUUGUCACGUCGGGUGUGAAAGCCCGGGGCUUAACCCCGGGUCUGCAUUCGAUACGGGCAGGCUAGAGUGUGGUAGGGGAGAACGGAAUUCCUGGUGUAGCGGUGAAAUGCGCAGAUAUCAGGAGGAACACCGGUGGCGAAGGCGGUUCUCUGGGCCUGUACUGACGCUGAGGAACGAAAGCGUGGGGAGCGAACAGG